AACGACGCUGGCGGCGUGCUUAACACAUGCAAGUCGAACGCGAAAGGGGCUUCGGUCCUGAGUAGAGUGGCGCACGGGUGAGUAACGCGUAGAUAACCUGUCCUGGUGUCUGGAAUAACGUCUCGAAAGGGGCACUAAUACCGGAUAUUCUUGCUUUCUUCAAGGUAUGCAAGGAAAGGUGGCCUCUGGAACAAGCUACUGCACGAGGAGGGGUCUGCGUACCAUUAGCUAGUAGGUGGGGUAAUGGCCUACCUAGGCGACGAUGGUUAGCGGGUCUGAGAGGAUGAUCCGCCACACUGGCACUGGAAUACGGGCCAGACUCCUACGGGAGGCAGCAGUGAGGAAUAUUGCGCAAUGGGGGCAACCCUGACGCAGCGACGCCGCGUGAGUGAGGAAGGCCUUCGGGUCGUAAAGCUCUGUCAAGAGGGAAGAAGUGCAUGGUG
rnacentral:rRNA from 1 species